CUACGGGGGGCUCCAGUGAGGAAUAUUGCGCAAUGAGGGGAACCCUGAUGCAGCAACGCCGCGUGGAGGAUGACGCAUUUCGGUGGGUAAACUCCUUUUAUAUGUCAAGAAAAUGACGGUAGCAUAUGAAUAAGCACCGGCUAACUCCGUGCCAGCAGCCGCGGUAAUACGGAGGGUGCAAGCGUUACUCGGAAUCACUGGGCGUAAAGGACGCGUAGGCGGGUUGGAAAGUCAGGUGUGAAAUCCUACAGCUUAACUGUAGAACUGCACUUGAAACUUCUAAUCUAGAGUAUGGGAGGGGGAGAUGGAAUUAGUGGUGUAGGGGUAAAAUCCGUAGAUAUCACUAGGAAUACCUAAGGCGAAGGCGAUCUCCUGGAACAUUACUGACGCUAAGGCGUGAAAGCGUGGGGAGCAAACAGGAUUAGAUACCCGUGUAGUC
rnacentral:rRNA from 1 species